rnacentral:rRNA from 1 species
UACGUAGGGUGCAAGCGUUGUCCGGAAUUAUUGGGCGUAAAGAGCUCGUAGGCGGUCUGUCACGUCGGAUGUGAAAAUCCAGGGCUUAACCCUGGACCUGCAUUCGAUACGGGCAGACUAGAGUUCGGUAGGGGAGACUGGAAUUCCUGGUGUAGCGGUGAAAUGCGCAGAUAUCAGGAGGAACACCUGCGGUGUAGACGGCUUACUGGACGGUAACUGACGCUGAGGCACGAAAGCGUGGGUAGCAAACAGG